UUGGAGGGCAAGUCUGGUGCCAGCAGCCGCGGUAAUUCCAGCUCCAAUAGCGUAUAUUAAAGUUGUUGCAGUUAAAAAGCUCGUAGUUGAAUUUCGGGAUCAAUACGUCGGUCGUGCUUUCGGGUACGUACUGGCGUCAUUGGUUUCUCCUUUCUGACGAACCAUGAUGUCAUUAAUUUGGUGUUAUGGGGAGUUAGGACUGUUACUUUGAAAAAAUUAGAGUGUUUAAAGCAGGCAUUAGCUUGAAUACAUUAGCAUGGAAUAAUGAAAUAGGACGUUCAAUCCUAUUUUGUUGGUUUCUAGGAUCAACGUAAUGAUUAAUAGGGAUAGUUGGGGGCAUUAGUAUUCAAUUGUCAGAGGUGAAAUUCUUGGAUUUAUUGAAGACUAACUACUGCGAAAGCAUUUGCCAAGGAUGUUUUCAUUAAUCAAGAGCGAAAGUUAGGGGAUCGAAGACGAUCAGAUACCGUCGUAGUCUUAACCAUAAACUAUGCCGACUAGGGAUCGGAUGAUGUUAAUUUUUUAAUGACUCAUUCGGCGCCUUACGGGAAAC
rnacentral:rRNA from 1 species